rnacentral:misc_RNA from 1 species
CAAGGCGCGUCAUGGGUGCUACCAAG